AGAAGGAGGGAGACAGGUGGCGACAUGGGGGAGACAGAGGGAAACAGGUGGUGACAUGGGGGAGACAGAAGGAGACAGGUGGCGACAUGGGGGAGAAGGAGGGAGAAAGGUGGCGACAUGGGGGAGACAGGGGAGACAGGUGGUGACAUUGGCGAGAAAGAGGGAGACAGGUGGAGACAUGGGGGAGAAGGAGGGAGACAGGUGGUGACAUGGGGGAGACAGAGGGAGACAGGUGGCGACAUGGGGGAGACAGAGGGAGACAGGUGGUGACAUGGGGGAGACAGAGGGAGACAGGUGGUGAAAUAGGGCAGACAGAGGGAGACAGGUGGUGACAUUGGGGAGACAGAUGGAGACAGGUGGCGACAUGGGGGAGAAGGAGGGAGACAGGUGGUGACAUGGGGGAGACAGGUGGUGACAUGGGGGAGAAAGAGGGAGACAGGUGGUGACAUGGGGGAGACAGGUGGUGACAUGGGGGAGACAGAGGGAGACAGGUGGUGACAUGGGGGAGACAGAGGGAGACAGGUGGCGACAUGGGGGAGAAGGAGGGAGAAAGGUGGUGACAUGGGGGAGACAGGUGGUGACAUGGGGGAGACAGAGGGAGACAGGUGGUGAAAUAGGGGAGACAGAGGGAGACAGGUGGUGACAUUGGGGAGACAGAUGGAGACAGGUGGCGACAUGGGGGAGAAGGAGGGAGACAGGUGGUGACAUGGGGGAGACAGGUGGUGACAUGGGGGAGACAGAGGGAGACAGGUGGUGACA